GACGAACGCUGGCGGCGUGCUUAACACAUGCAAGUCGAACGGAAAGGCCCUGCUUUUGUGGGGUGCUCGAGUGGCGAACGGGUGAGUAACACGUGAGUAACCUGCCCUUGACUUUGGGAUAACUUCAGGAAACUGGGGCUAAUACCGGAUAGGAGCUCCUGCUGCAUGGUGGGGGUUGGAAAGUUUCGGCGGUUGGGGAUGGACUCGCGGCUUAUCAGCUUGUUGGUGGGGUAGUGGCUUACCAAGGCUUUGACGGGUAGCCGGCCUGAGAGGGUGACCGGCCACAUUGGGACUGAGAUACGGCCCAGACUCCUACGGGAGGCAGCAGUGGGGAAUAUUGAACAAUGGGCGGAAGCCUGAUGCAGCAACGCCGCGGGCGGGAUGACGGCCUUCGGGUUGUAAACCGCUUUCGCCUGUGACGAAGCGUGAGUGACGGUAAUGGGUAAAGAAGCACCGGCUAACUACGUGC
rnacentral:rRNA from 1 species